GAUGAACGCUAGCGGCAGGCUUAAUACAUGCAAGUCGUGGGGCAGCAGGUUUGUAGCAAUACAGAUGCUGGCGACCGGCAAACGGGUGCGGAACACGUACAGAACCUUCCUUUGAGCGGGGAAUAGCCCAGAGAAAUUUGGAUUAAUACCCCAUAGUAUAAUGAAGUGGCAUCACUUUAUUAUUAAAGAUUUAUCACUCGAAGAUGGCUGUGCGGCUGAUUAGGUAGUUGGCGGGGUAAAGGCCCACCAAGCCUGCGAUCAGUAACUGGUGUGAGAGCACGACCAGUCACACGGGCACUGAGACACGGGCCCGACUCCUACGGGAGCAGCAGUAAGGAAUAUUGGUCAAUGGAGGCAACUCUGAACCAGCCAUGCCGCGUGGAGGAUGAAGGUCCUCUGGAUUGUAAACUUCUUUAUAUGGACGAAAAAAGGCUUUUCUAAGUCGUCUGACGGUACCAUAUGAAUAAGCACCGGCUAACUCCGUGCCAGCAGCCGACGG
rnacentral:rRNA from 1 species